CGCGCCGGAAGCGGAAGCGGAAGCGGCGAGUCUCCAUGGCGGCGGCGGCGGCGGCGGCAGGGCCGGUGUUCUGGAGGCGGCUGCUGGGCCUUCUGCCUGGCCGCCCCGGGCUGGCUGCGCUCCUGGGGCGCCUGUCCGACCGCCUCGGCAGGAACCCGGACCGCCGGCGCAGGAGGUCACCAUGGCUGCUGUUGGCUCCUCUGCUGUCCCCCGCGGUCCCCGUGGUCACCUCGCCUCCCUGCUGCCUGUGUGCAGAGGGCGUGCAUCGCUUCCAGUGGAUCAGAAACCUGGUUCCAGAGUUUGGCGUCUCCAGCUCUCACGUCAGGGUGCUUUCUUCCCCAGCAGAGUUUUUUGAGCUCAUGAAGGGGCAGAUAAAAGUAGCCAAGAGGCGGGUCGUGAUGGCAUCCCUCUACCUGGGGAUAGGUCCUCUGGAACAGGAGCUGGUGGAUUGCCUAGAAAGCACUCUAGAAAAGUCACUCCAGGCGAAGUUUCCUUCCGACCUCAGGGUGUCCAUCCUCUUAGACUUCACGAGGGGCUCGAGAGGAAGGAAGAACUCGCGCACGAUGCUGCUCCCGCUCCUGCAGAGGUUUCCAGAACAGGUCCGCGUCUCGCUUUUCCACACGCCUAACCUGCGUGGGCUUCUGCGGCUCCUCAUCCCUGAGCGCUUCAAUGAGACCAUUGGCCUGCAGCACAUCAAGGUGUACCUCUUCGACAACAACAUCAUCCUCAGCGGUGCAAACCUGAGUGACUCCUACUUCACCAACCGGCAGGACCGCUACGUGUUCUUGCAGGACUGUCCCGAGAUCGCCGACUUCUUCACGGAGCUGGUGGACGCGGUAGGGGACGUGUCCCUGCAGCUGCAGGGGGAUGACACGGUGCAGGUGGUCGAGGGGAUGGUGCAUCCUUACAAAGGUGACCGGGCUGCGUACUGCAAGGCGGCCAAUAAGAGGGUCAUGGACGUGAUCAACUCUGCCAGGACGCGCCAGCAGAUGCUGCACGCCCAGACCUUCCACAGCGACUCCCUCCUGACCCAGGAGGACGCCGCCGCCGCUGGAGACCGGAGGCCGGCCCCCGACACCUGGAUCUACCCCCUGAUCCAGAUGAAGCCCUUUGAGAUUCAGAUCGACGAGAUUGUCACCGAGACCCUGCUGACAGAGGCCGAGCGAGGUGCUAAGGUCUACCUCACCACUGGCUACUUCAACCUGACCCAGGCCUACAUGGACCUGGUCUUGGGCACGCGGGCCGAGUACCAGAUCCUGCUGGCCUCGCCGGAGGUGAACGGCUUCUUCGGGGCCAAGGGGGUGGCGGGCGCCAUCCCGGCCGCCUACGUGCACAUCGAGCGGCAGUUCUACAGCGAGGUGUGCAGCCUGGGGCAGCAGGAGCGGGUGCGGCUGCAGGAGUACUGGCGCAGGGACUGGACGUUCCACGCCAAAGGCCUCUGGCUGUACCUGGCAGGGAGCAGCCUGCCCUGUCUCACGUUGAUUGGCUCUCCUAAUUUUGGGUACAGGUCGGUUCACCGGGACCUGGAGGCCCAGAUUGCCAUCGUAACGGAGAGCCGGGCCCUGCAGCAGCAGUUUCACCAGGAGCAGGAGCAGCUCUACCGCAGGGCAGGUGUGGUGUCCUCUGCCACCUUUGAGCAGCCAAGCCGGCAGGUGAAGCUGUGGGUGAAGAUGGUAACUCCGCUGAUCAAGAACUUCUUCUGAGGACGGCAGAUGCUGUGGGCCAGAGCGAGCCUGUGCCACGGCCAGGCUUGAGCAAUAGGCGGCCUGCUCGCUUUGUGUCUGCCGCCUGCCUUCAGGACGGUCCUGGGGGAGGGGGCUCCCCUCUCCCCCUGGAGCUCGCCCCAGCCUGGGCCCCUGCCCUUCUGCCCUCUCCGGGACUGCUGCCGUGCCCACGGCACUUUCAGAUGCAGCACAGCGCUCGUCCCAGUCUGUCUCCCCGAGACUGGAUUGCAGCUCCAAGGGAUGGCCUUGAUGAAGAUGACGGGCAUGGCUGGCGUCAGCUCUUUCAGCCGCGCUUCGGCAAUGACUCCGAUCUGGGUGUCCCAGCGAGCUCCUGCAGGGGCGGCACGUCUGAGGGUCAGGGUGGCCCACGGUGAGGUGACUGGCUCGCGCCCCCACCCCUGCUGAGAUGGGCCAGGGCCGGACUGGCACCAGGAUCACCACACGUGGGGCUGCGAGCGGAGGGCGUGGCGGGGGCGUGUGUGUCUCGCUGAGAACGUCCGGGGGCCGGCUCAGCCCUGGACCAUUGUUUACAUUCGUGGUGUUUUCAGAGCCUCGUGUGUCAGCCGUCUUGAUUUCGGGGGCAGGAAACCAUAACUCCAGCUCAAAGUGACCGAUUAAAGCUCCCCGCUCCCCUCCCCUGUGGCGUCUGUCCCGUGUCCCUGCGCAGUAUAAACGUGUAUACGCACAUAGAACUGUUGUUGCCUUGAACCAGAGUUAUUUCUACUCACCCUAUUUAAUGACGCUGAGAUUUCCUGUAAUUCCACAAUAAACAUGGAGAACGUC